UGACGAUAUAGUUAGGUAAAGAGGAAACAUGGCGAUUAAUCACAAAAUAUGGCUGCCAAAGCAACCGUCAUGGAGAAGUUUACCAUAACUGGGAUGAUAGCCAUUGGUUGAACAUAAGGAAUUAAUCCACUUAGCAGCAGAACUAUGCAUUUAAUGGUCUGAAAGUUGAAUCUGAAAUCACUGAUCCUUUAUCAGUGAAAGUUUUCUGGAGAUGUCAUGUGACAGAUGGAAGACGAGGUUAUAUGCUGAAUAUAGAAGAUUCUAGUAAACGCAAAGACACAUCAAAUAUCUUCCAGAGCUUGCUAUUGCUACCUGAAAAUGUAUGCAAGAAAGAGUAUUUAAGAGAUCAGAGAAAUACUUGGAGUACUGUUCUGUAAGAAAAGGGUAUUAAUACUAUAUAGAAAGAGACAACUUUGUCAGAGGGGACACCUCACUAAAGACUGUGGUGUUAUGAUACUGAAGGUAUCAUGAACCAAUAACAGCAGAGAAUGUAGGAUAACUAAAAGGCAGGUAACAACAACUGACUGAAAAUGCUUUUGUUUCUGUUAGAAAUAUAACAGUGGGAUGAAGAGAAUGUGGUAAUGUUUUGAAUAAUGUGGUAAUGUAUUUUUGAAUGAUGUUCUGAGAUAAAGGAUCUUAGAUAACAAAUGCUGUAUUUCCAAAUUGCUUAAUAAUCACUGCCCUUAAUUAGUUCUUAUGCAUUAAACAAGACUGCUAAAAUUGCAGCUUUUGAAAAUAAAAGAUACAUGAUAUAUCUAGAUACAAACACAAUUGCAAUGUCUGAAAUGAGGAGAAUAGGCGCACAAGCUCUUCUCUUAGUUAUUUCUGGCUUAGAAAGGAUGUGUGUGUAUCAUAUGACACAAUUAAAUGAUGGAACUGUUUGCAAACAUGCAACAACCCCCAACACUGUCAGCAUUUCAAUAGAAACUGCAAUAUUUGCAUUAAAUAAGCCAUCUCCCACUGUGCAACAGCAUUACACUAUGCCCACUAGUUCUUAGUUUGAAUAUUUGGCUGGCAGUCUGACUUGGAGAUUAGGUCACUGAGCUGCAAAUCAGCAACAUCCAGCUGAGCUGGAUUCGAUUCUCACAGUUUGCUAAUGUAUAUAUUUGAUCUGUUUGACUCACUUGAAGCAACUAAUUUCAUUCCCUAGUAUACUGACAUCUAAUAGGCCUUAGGUGGUUGGUUACACUUAGCAGUGUAAAAAAACUCACAAA